rnacentral:rRNA from 1 species
AGUGAACGCUGGCGGUAGGCCUAACACAUGCAAGUCGAACGGCAGCACAGUAAGAGCUUGCUCUUACGGGUGGCGAGUGGCGGACGGGUGAGGAAUACAUCGGAAUCUACUUUUUCGUGGGGGGUAACGUAGGGAAACUUACGCUAAUACCGCAUACGACCUACGGGUGAAAGCAGGGGAUCUUCGGACCUUGCGCGAUUGAAUGAGCCGAUGUCGGAUUAGCUAGUUGGCGGGGUAAAGGCCCACCAAGGCGACGAUCCGUAGCUGGUCUGAGAGGAUGAUCAGCAACACUGGAACUGAGACACGGUCCAGACUCCUACGGGAGGCAGCAGUGGGGAAUAUUGGACAAUGGGCGCAAGCCUGAUCCAGCCAUACCGCGUGGGUGAAGAAGGCCUUCGGGUUGUAAAGCCCUUUUGUUGGGAAAGAAAAGCAGCAGGUUAAUACCCCGCUGUUCUGACGGUACCCAAAGAAUAAGCACCGGCUAACUUCGUG